rnacentral:rRNA from 1 species
CGUAAGUGGCAAGCGUUGUCCGGAUUUACUGGGCGUAAAGGGUGCGUAGGUGGAUAUUUAAGUCAGAUGUGAAACCCCCAGGCUCAACCUGGGAACUGCAUUUGAAACUGGAUGUCUGGAGUGCAGGAGAGGUAAGUGGAAUUCCUAGUGUAGCGGUGAAAUGCGUAGAGAUUAGGAAGAACACCAGUGGCGAAGGCGACUUACUGGACUGUAACUGACACUGAGGCACGAAAGCGUGGGUAGCAAACAGGAUUAGAUACCCUGGUAGUCCACGCCGUAAACGAUGAGUACUAGGUGUAGGAGGUAUCGACUCCUUCUGUGCCGCAGUUAACACAAUAAGUACUCCGCCUGGGAAGUACGAUCGCAAGAUUA